rnacentral:rRNA from 1 species
GAUGAACGCUGGCGGCGUGCCUAAUACAUGCAAGUCGAGCGAACAGACGAGGAGCUUGCUCCUCUGACGUUAGCGGCGGACGGGUGAGUAACACGUGGAUAACCUACCUAUAAGACUGGGAUAACUUCGGGAAACCGGAGCUAAUACCGGAUAAUAUAUUGAACCGCAUGGUUCAAUAGUGAAAGACGGUUUUGCUGUCACUUAUAGAUGGAUCCGCGCCGCAUUAGCUAGUUGGUAAGGUAACGGCUUACCAAGGCGACGAUGCGUAGCCGACCUGAGAGGGUGAUCGGCCACACUGGAACUGAGACACGGUCCAGACUCCUACGGGAGGCAGCAGUAGGGAAUCUUCCGCAAUGGGCAAAAGCCUGACGGAGCAACGCCGCGUGAGUGAUGAAGGUCUUCGGAUCGUAAAACUCUGUUAUUAGGGAAGAACAAAUGUGUAAGUAACUAUGCACGUCUUGACGGUACCUAAUCAGAAAGUCACGGCUAACUACGUG